rnacentral:lncRNA from 7 species
GUUAGUUUGUGAAAAGCAUGGGGUCCUUUUUGAAUUUUUCGCACGCCGAAGGGGUAUAGGUUCAUGUGAGCCAUUGGAUCAGGAUUGGAUGCGUGAGAUUAAAUCAAAUCCUUUCUGAACCGGUACGCACAUGUUGUCGUCCGAUCACGAUCCGAAGGUUCAGAUUUUAAAUUGAUGUGAUCUAAUCUUACCCGCCUGAUCAGAGUUGGAUGACUACGACUUGAUCCACUCUAUUCUAAUCCCAACCUUCCAAACCCGGAUCCACGACCACCGCACUCUUAGCCAAACCAGUAUGUUACUUCUAAUCGUGGCCAUCCGUGACCAGAUCAGCGGCCAUGCGAUUGUCUCUCCCCCACGCCCGAUCUCGACGGCGACGUUGCCCCGUCGAACACCCGCCCAAGGUUCUAGGGCAUAAUCCGAAUUCUACCAGGAGGAAAAGAGGGCGAACGCUUUCGUGAACAUGACGGGGUGGCAUACAAGUGCACAGCACGGCCGGAGCCUCAUUCGCGGAGUAGCGCGGUUCCUCGACGCGGCUUCAUCACCGGCAAGAAAUCGCCCACGCUCAGCUCGAUUUCCCCACCAAACAACACCACGGACGCAUCCGCCAGGAUAGGCCGAGCCUCCCCGGGACCAUGCCCUACGGUCGAGAGAAGGUAUGGACGACACCCAGGCG